rnacentral:rRNA from 1 species
UACGUAGGGGGCAAGCGUUGUCCGGAAUUAUUGGGCGUAAAGCGCGUGUAGGCGGCCAGAUAAGUCCGCUGUGAAAGUCGGGGGCUCAACCCUCGGAUGCCGGUGGAUACUGUCGGGCUUGAGUACGGAAGAGGCGAGUGGAAUUCCUGGUGUAGCGGUGAAAUGCGUAGAUAUCGGGAGGAACACCUGUGGCGAAGGCGGCCCCCUGGUUGGAUACUGACGCUGAGACGCGAAAGCGUGGGAAGCAAACAGG